UACGGAGGGUGCGAGCGUUAAUCGGAAUUACUGGGCGUAAAGCGCGCGCAGGCGGAAUAACAAGUCAGAUGUGAAAUCUCGGGGCUCAACCCCGAAACUGCGUCUGAAACUGUUGUUCUAGAGUGUCGGAGAGGAAUGGAGAAUUUCCUGUGUAGGGGUAAAAUCCGUAGAGAUAGGAAGGAAUACCUGAGGCGAAGGCGCCAUUCUGGACGACAACUGACGCUGAGGCGCGAAAGCGUGGGGAGCAAACAGG
rnacentral:rRNA from 1 species